AGACAAAAAAAUGCCCGAAACUAUUACUAGUUCGGGCUUAGGGGAAUGGCUUUGUUAGAGCCGUGCGCUAAGUAUAAAUUCUUACACCUCUAAACAAACAAUCAUGAGGUUUGACUAAUAACUAU
rnacentral:sRNA from 1 species